rnacentral:rRNA from 1 species
GAUGAACGCUGGCGGCGUGCUUAACACAUGCAAGUCGAACGGAAAGGCCCAAGCUUGCUUGGGUACUCGAGUGGCGAACGGGUGAGUAACACGUGGGUGAUCUGCCCUGCACUUCGGGAUAAGCCUGGGAAACUGGGUCUAAUACCGGAUAGGACCACAUUUUGGAUGGUGUGGUGGAAAGUUUUUCGGUGUGGGAUGAGCUCGCGGCCUAUCAGCUUGUUGGUGGGGUAAUGGCCUACCAAGGCGUCGACGGGUAGCCGGCCUGAGAGGGUGUACGGCCACAGUGGGACUGAGAUACGGCCCAGACUCCGACGGGAGGCAGCAGUGGGGAAUAUUGCACAAUGGGCGCAAGCCUGAUGCAGCGACGCCGCGUGGGGGAUGACGGCCUUCGGGUUGUAAACUCCUUUCGCUAGGGACGAAGCGUUUUUGUGACGGUACCUGGAGAAGAAGCACCGGCUAACUACGUG